AUGGAGGGCGUCGAGGAGAUUGUCAUCGCCGGCGCCGGGCUCGCCGGUCUCGCGACGGCCCUGGGGUUGCACAGGAAAGGGGUGAGGUGCGUGGUGCUGGAGUCGUCGGCGACGCUGCGUGCGUCGGGGUACGCCUUCACCACAUGGACCAACGCCUUCCGCGCCCUGGACGCCCUGGGCGUCGGGGACAAGAUCAGGGAGCACCACCUGCUCUACGAGAGGCUGGUGGCCUUCUCUGCAUCCACGGGUGAGGCUGCCGCAAAAGUGAGCCUAAAGAUGCAGGGCAAAAGCGGGCCUCACGAGAUUCGGUGCGUGAAGCGCAACUUCUUGCUGGAGACGCUGGAGGAGGAGCUGCCGGAGGGCACCAUCAGGUACUCCUCCAAGAUCGUCGCCAUCGAGGAAGAGGGCAACGUCAAGCUGCUGCACAUGGCCGACGGCUCCAUCAUCAGAGCCAACGUUCUUGUGGGGUGUGACGGAGUGAACUCGGUGGUGGCCAAGUGGCUGGGCCUGCCCAAGCCGAUCCUCUCGGGGCGGUCCGCCACCCGGGGCCUCGCCGAGUACCCGGACGGGCACGGCUUCGGGCCCGAGAUGCUGCAGUUCAUCGGGCAGGGCUUCCGCUCCGGCGUGCUCCCCUGCUCCGACACCUCCGUGUACUGGAACUACACCUGGUACCCGUCCCCGGCGGACGGGGACGCGGAGGAGAGCGUGGACAAGAUGCGGCGGCACGUGCUGGCCAGGCUUCGGGCCGCCAAGAUCCCCGCGGAGGCGCUGGACGUGGUCGAGCGGGGCGAGAUGAGCGAGGUGGUGUCGUCGCCGCUGCGGUUCCGGUCCCCGCUGGCGCUGGUCCGGGGCAGCAUCUCCAGGCGCGGCGUGUGCGUGGCCGGCGACGCGUUCCACCCGAUGACCCCGGAGCUCGGGCAGGGCGGCUGCGCGGCGCUGGAGGACGGCGUCGUCCUUGCCCGAUGCCUCGGCGAGGCCUUCGCCGUCGGCGGGCACGGGAGCGCCGAGGCGGCCCUGGAGAAGUACGCCGGGGAGCGGAGGUGGCGCGCCGUCCGGCUGGUCACUGCCGCGUACGUCGUCGGCUUCGUGCAGCAGAGCAGCAACCCGGCGAUCAAGUUCCUGAGGGAGAGGUUCCUGUCCGGGUUGCUGGCCAGAGUGAUGGUCGACAUGGCCGACUUCGACUGCGGGAAGCUCUAG
rnacentral:rRNA from 1 species